rnacentral:sRNA from 1 species
ACUGGGUGUGGUUGCGAAUGCCUGUAAUCCCAGUGGCUCAGGAGGCUGAGAUAGGAGGAUCAUGAGUUCAAAGCCAGCUUCAGCAAAAAGCAAGGUGCUGAGCAACUCAGUGAGACCCUGUCUCUA